CAGUUCCAGGGACUGUGUCUUCUUUCAGUUGUUCUUCCAUAUAUUUGGAGAAAUCCCUGUCAUUCACAUGGACAUGUCCUGCCGGAGUGUAUACCUCCUUCACUCUCAGUCUAUACAACACAAGUAACAGCAUCUUAAGUACCACCGUUACUGUUAAUCAGAACUGUAUGAAUGACACACAGACUUAUAUUCAGCCAGGCUUGCAAUAUUACACUAAUUACACUGCUAAUAUAUCAACUUCCAUGCAGUCGUGCAGCCAAACAAGUGAUGACGUCAUGAUUGCCAACUGUUUAACUUCCAUAGGACGUAAGUAACAAUAAUUAACGCG